rnacentral:rRNA from 1 species
CCUACGGGAGGCAGCAGUGGGGAAUUUUGGACAAUGGGGGCAACCCUGAUCCAGCAAUGCCGCGUGAGUGAAGAAGGCCCUCGGGUUGUAAAGCUCUUUUGUCAGGGAAGAAAAGGUUGCGGCUAAUAUCCGCGACUCAUGACGGUACCUGAAGAAUAAGCACCGGCUAACUACGUGCCAGCAGCCGCGGUAAUACGUAGGGUGCAAGCGUUAAUCGGAAUUACUGGGCGUAAAGCGUGCGCAGGCGGUUUUGUAAGACUGUCGUGAAAUCCCCGGGCUUAACCUGGGAAUGGCGAUGGUGACUGCAAGGCUAGAGUUUGGCAGAGGGGGGUAGAAUUCCACGUGUAGCAGUGAAAUGCGUAGAUAUGUGGAGGAACACCGAUGGCGAAGGCAGCCCCCUGGGUCAAAACUGACGCUCAUGCACGAAAGCGUGGGGAGCAAACAGGAUUAGAUACCCUGGUAGUCCACGCCCUAAACGAUGUCUACUAGUUGUCGGGUCUUAAUUGACUUGGUAACGCAGCUAACGCGUGAAGUAGACCGCCUGGGGAGUACGGUCGCAAGNUUAAAACUUAAGGAAUUGACGG